AGUGAACGCUGGCGGUAGGCCUAACACAUGCAAGUCGAACGGCAGCACAGUAAGAGCUUGCUCUUACGGGUGGCGAGUGGCGGACGGGUGAGGAAUACAUCGGAAUCUACUUUUUCGUGGGGGAUAACGUAGGGAAACUUACGCUAAUACCGCAUACGACCUACGGGUGAAAGCAGGGGAUCUUCGGACCUUGCGCGAUUGAAUGAGCCGAUGUCGGAUUAGCUAGUUGGCGGGGUAAAGGCCCACCAAGGCGACGAUCCGUAGCUGGUCUGAGAGGAUGAUCGGCCACACUGGAACUGAGACACGGUCCAGACUCCUACGGGAGGCAGAAGUGGGGAAUAUUGGACAAUGGGCGCAAGCCUGAUCCAGCCAUACCGCGUGGGUGAAGAAGGCCUUCGGGUUGUAAAGCCCUUUUGUUGGGAAAGAAAAGCAGCAGGUUAAUACCCCGCUGUUCUGACGGUACCAAAAGAAUAAGCACCGGCUAACUUCGU
rnacentral:rRNA from 1 species